rnacentral:rRNA from 1 species
UUAAAUUGAAGAGUUUGAUCAUGGCUCAGAUUGAACGCUGGCGGCAGGCCUAACACAUGCAAGUCGAACGGUAACAGGAAGCAGCUUGCUGCUUCGCUGACGAGUGGCGGACGGGUGAGUAAUGUCUGGGAAACUGCCUGAUGGAGGGGGAUAACUACUGGAAACG